AAGCAGUAAGGAAUAUUGGACAAUGGGGGAAACCCUGAUGCGGCAACGCCGCGUGGGCGAUGAAGGCCUUCGGGUCGUAAAGCCCUUUUCUGGGGGAAGAGAGCUGUCUGUACCCCAGGAAUGAGUCUCGGCUAACUACGUG
rnacentral:rRNA from 1 species